GAGUACAAGCAAGAGAAAUAGUGCUGAAAACACAGAACUUAUCUUUCUCUACUCAUCGCUCCUUUUCUUCAUCAGUGUUGCUCUGAAGAACUGUUGGUUUAGCAAUUGGGGUGAGAGGACCGUUGUCCCUUAAACACCUGGCAUUUGGAGGCUUCUAAAGUAUACCAUGAAAAGCAAACAAAAUCUGAAGCGGGACAAACCUUCUUAAGAAGCAUUUUGUAUAAGUUGCCUUGUUGCCAAUCGUGAAUCUUCAGAACUGUCUGCCAAAUGCCUGACACUGAAGUGAUUUAAGACCUGCAUUAGAUCAGCUUCAACUGAGUGUAGCAUGCUGCCCUGGGAGGGUGACUGCUCAAUGAGCAUUCCCCUGGCUCUGAGAAGUGAGAAAAAUAAGUUCUGUUAAAAGAAAGAAUUAAUAGUAAUUUGAAUUGAGAAGCCUAAAUCCUGCCCAGACAUACACUCAGAACAAGUUCAGAGCUCAGAAUGCCGCAGUAAUGCAUAUCAAACUUUCUUUCACAUAAACUCCUCGAAACAUCAGGAUGAAAUGGUUAUCAGGAUUCUGAAGGACUAAGGUCUUCAUGUGUAGUGCUAACAGUUAAAAAGAAGGAAAAGCAACCAAAUUGCCCCUAGUCUGCUCAAGAGCCCGUCACUGCUUCCUAAGUGGUCACGCUACAAAAUCAAAGAAGUAACAAGGUAUGGUUGGUUACCCUUCCAAAAAUAACUGCAAGUAUUAAGUGCUGUCUUUAUGGAGAAGCCAGACCUCCUGCAGUAAGAGGGAAAAUUGAAUUGACUUGCAAGAGGCCAGAAUGCCACCCACAGAGGUGCUUGAUUGCCAGAAAAUGCUGAGUUCCUGCUGCUUGGAAUCACUGCUGUCCGAUAUCCGGCAUUGUACUGAAAGUUUCAGAGAGGAGACAGACAGCUGGUGGAGUUGCAGAUUUCACAAGCAGGAGGAAUCAAAAUGUGGGAGACCAGGAGGUCAGGACAGCAUGCUUGAUUGCCUACAUGAAGAGUAACAAGCUUCUCCUCUGGUCCCAUGUGAGCCACCUGGAAACCAUUGAGGAGCACAAGAGCCCCAGUAUCAUCUCAGUGGAUGUUUCAGAGAAACUGUUUGAAUGUCUGUGCUAGAAAGGUACAUGAAUUUAUCCUGCAAUGAAUACAGAAGCAUAGGAGAUGGAGGACAGGACCUUGACCUGAACAGAUCUGAGUAAGUUAGAACAAAUUUUCUAGUUUUGAUGAAAUGCUUCAUUUGGAAAUCAUAGUUAAGAAUCCUCUGACACAACUUUUUAAAAUGAUAGUUAAAUCCCUAAAAAUCUGUUUUAGAAAAGCAUACCCUGAUAAAAUAACCACAUACAUUUUCCAGCUAUUAAACUAGAAUACAUAUACUGCCAUUUCGGAGAACUCUGUACAAAAAUGGCCAGCAGAGCUGAGUUUUAUCAUAGCACUCAGCAUUUCCUUCUCUUUUAAGCAAUUAGUAAAUCAGUCAGAAAUCUCACUUUUCAUUCCAGUAAGUCUGCUCUGCAACAAUUUUGAGCAAACAGAUUUUAUCAUCUAUGGAACUGUCAAAACAAAGAAGUCGCAAAUUUAUUUCUGCGGCUUAAAUUACCAAGUACCUUUCCCAGCGCUCUUGCCAUGUUUUUACCCUCUGGGGUUUUGAUUUCUUUCUUUUUCUUUUCUUUUUUUUUUUUUUUUUUGACAAAAUUUUUGAUUGAUCAACUGAAUAAUUUCAGAUAAUUUAAACUAUAUGUCACAUAUGCGUGACUGCAUAGAUUAGAUCUGGCUGUUCCAGUAAGGCCCCCCCCAGAAAAACUGAUAUAGUAAAAAAGUGUCUGGAUUUAUAGUUCUAUACAAAACAAUUUUAGAGACCUGAUUCUUGAAUUUUGAAAGGCUCUUUGGUACUAUUUCCUCCUUCUCCACUGAGUUUCCUGAUGGGCAUAACAGCAGUGACACCAAAACAGCUGUUGUGCAUUUCAGGAGUUGUAUUUUAAAGCAGCCUCCAGGACCGGCCCCCAAUUAAAGCGUUAAAGUGGUGUUUGACCACCAUUCGUCCUGCUCAGCCAAACUGCUGGGCUGUUGUCUGGUUUUAAGAAACCUAAUUUCUUUCAUUAAACCUUUUCACGAUAAAAAGAAGUGGAUUUAUUAAGUGCUCAUUACCUGCAAUUCUAGGUUGAAUACCUUGUGUUACAUUGCUCUGUAUGUGGUAUUGAAAUGGCCUUGGGCACGAUUGUAAGGCAGUACUCAUAGCGAGCACCUCAUAAAGAUGAGAUGCUCAUCUCAUCUGGCGAUUGCUGAGAACAAAAAAUGAUAGAUAAAUUAUUUUUAAUGGUACCAAGAAAUGCUAUAUGCUAACAAUAGAACUAUAAUGCCUCUCUUCUGACUUCCUUCAGUGCUUCCUCCAUAACAUGCUUGGCAAUAACCUUAGGCUGGAACAGACUUCUCAGUGCAAUUGUGAUAAUGCCAACAGAAGUGACUGGUGCACUUGCAGUUCCUUUCAGGAAAGAGUAUGCUUUGUUUAUUUGAGCUGCGUAUUGGUAUUAUUUGUUGGAAGUCUUAAAACUUUCUGGAGAGACAUUCUCCACCUAGAGCAAUAAAAGAGCAACUGUUAAAUUUAAUUUCUGCUGGAAGAGUAAGUUACCUUUUACUUUACUACAUCAGUAAAAUGGACGCUAAACAUCUGAUGAAAGAUCCCAGCUGGAUACAAGGGAAGCUUUUUUACUCACUUCACUUCCAAAAAUCUGAUGUAUUCUACAUUUGUGGAGAGAUGUUAUGAGUUUGUUGUUGUAGUUGUUCGGUUGCUUUUUUUUAAUCUAUUGCGUGUGUCAAGUGUUACAUUUCUAUAUACUGCAGCAAUAUAACCUUCCUUUAUUGCUAUGUGAGUACAUCGCAAAAAAAUAAAUGCAGACUGAGAUUUUUAAUGAAGGUUUAGAUACCAGGUGUCACAUAAAGAACAUAAACUGUGGUUGACAAUAAAAUUAGAAGUUACCCAAGCAGCCACAGGAUACAUUCUGCUCUCCCACAGCUCGUACGUGUCAAAGACUGCAUCGCUGAAAGCAUAAUACUGCUCCUGCACUAAGAGUGUGUCUCUUCCAAGGCUUUCAAAACCAUGGCACCAGGUGUGAUUUAAGACCACUUCCAUUAAGAAGCAUGGAACUGGAUUUUUCUUCUUGUAUUUAGUGCUACUGAACUCCUUGCCAUCAGGUAUUAAGAGAGUGUCUAAGAUAUGAAAUGCUACAAACCUGACAGAUGUCUGUGUGAGCCAUAGAGAUAUUUCACACAGGAGAGUGAAGGCGAAGAUGAAUUUGGGACUAAUGGAUCUGAAUAGCUGGUCAAGACAGGGCAGUGAAGAGGAGGACAUGAAGCAAAAAGAUUUAAGACUUAAUGAGACCAAUAAAAAAAAAAACCAACAGGCUCCAUACCACUGAAAAGCAAUAUUUACUACUUCACUUUCAGAUUUGUACUGAGUUAAUGCCUGUGUUGAUCUGUAACCUCGUCCAGCUGGAAACAAUGGGAAAAAAAAAUCAGCAACAAAUACAAGAUCUGAAAGAAAAAAAAGGCAAGAUUUGAAAGAGAGCCUACAUUUAUAACAGUCAAGGCAGCUUUGAUAGAUGAAGGAAGAGUACUGCCCAGUACUGGAAGGAGAGAAAAAAAAAAAGACUAACGCACUAUGGAUUACUGAGAUACUCUACAGUAAAAUAAAAUUAAAACGUACAAUAAAGUUAGU
rnacentral:lncRNA from 1 species